rnacentral:rRNA from 1 species
GAUGAACGCUGGCGGCGUGCCUAAUACAUGCAAGUCGAGCGAACAGACGAGGAGCUUGCUCCUCUGACGUUAGCGGCGGACGGGUGAGUAACACGUGGAUAACCUACCUAUAAGACUGGGAUAACUUCGGGAAACCGGAGCUAAUACCGGAUAAUAUAUUGAACCGCAUGGUUCAAUAGUGAAAGACGGUUUUGCUGUCACUUAUAGAUGGAUCCGCGCCGGAUUAGCUAGUUGGUAAGGUAACGGCUUACCAAGGCUACGAUGCGUAGCCGACCUGAGAGGGUGAUCAGCCACACUGGAACUGAGACACGGUCCAGACUCCUACGGGAGGCAGCAGUAGGGAAUCUUCCGCAAUGGGCGAAAGCCUGACGGAGCAACGCCGCGUGAGUGAUGAAGGUCUUCGGAUCGUAAAACUCUGUUAGUAGGGAAGAACAAAUGUGUAAGUAACUAUGCACGUCUUGACGGUACCUAAUCAGAAAGCCACGGCUAACUACGUG